AGGACGUGGACCACCAGGAGCAUCAGACCGUUUUACCGUCGCCAUGAAGUUUGUUUGCGUCUUCAUCGCCCUAAUGGGAGUAUGUACCGCCAACUCAAUAGGAGCCAAUCGUCCGAAAAGGGAUGACUGUAACUAUGCCUUGGUACAAAGGUGCGCCGACAGCAUGGGUUCAGGCGGCAGUUACCCUGGCAACGGUUACCCCGGUUACCCAGGAGGGGGUUAUCCCGGAAGACCUGAUUACAACAACAGGAGGUGGAUGGAAUGCUGUUACAGGAUGUGUGGGUCUGACUGUCUUGACGACUGAGCGACACCUAGCGGCAACACACAUCUACAUAGGGUCUUCAACACAUGAGCGUCGUACAAGAGAAGGACUGUAUGCUAACUUAUAAACAUCUGAUGCCAUCACACUACAGUAACAGAAGGUUCUUCAAAAUGCUGGUAAACUUCCAAGGCAAUUUCAACAACCCCCGGGUUCUGAUGAAUCCAUUUCAGUUGUAAUACUAGGUUUUACAAUUUACGUUUGAUAACCUUGCCUCUUGAUGUGAACACAAUUGUGUUUGAUGAUUGUUUAAAAGUCACAAUUGUUUUUUUAAAAGGAAAUUCGAUGACGUAAAUCGAGCCUGCAACCUUAUAUAUCGUGUAUAGUUUUGUUACCCACUGAUUUCCAAGUGAGCUACCGGGGCAGGUGAUGAAAAGUUGUUCAGUUUAUCAUGUCAUGACUCCAGCUAGUCCAUGCUGCACGUAGUACGUCUCUCGCAUACUCUUUGAACGAAUUCCUUUUAUUCCGCGAUACGCUUAAUUGUUUCACUAUGAGGUAGUUUUGGUUGAAAAUGUAAAACCUUGAACUCGGGCUUUUCCCUCGCUCGCGGUUUUACAUUUUCAACCAAAACCUCGGAGUUGUGAUUUAUCCUAUACAUAUUACCUUCACUGGGCAAGAAAUACAGAUGGACGUACUGUUGAUGAUGUGUUACGUGUCAAAAUAAAUUCUUAUUUCAA